GUAGGUGAACCUGCGGAAGGAUCAUUACCUAGAGUUGUAGGCUUUGCCUGCUAUCUCUUACCCAUGUCUUUUAAGUACCUUCGUUUCCUCGGCGGGCUCGCCCGCCGAUUGGACAAUUUAAACCAUUUGCAGUUGCAAUCAGCGUCUGAAAAAACUUAAUAGUUACAACUUUCAACAACGGAUCUCUUGGUUCUG
rnacentral:misc_RNA from 1 species